UACGGGGGGAGCAAGCGUUGUUCGGAUUUACUGGGCGUAAAGGGCGCGUAGGCGGUCAGCACAAGUCAGUUGUGAAAUCUCCGGGCUUAAACUCGGAAAGGUCAACUGAUACUGUGCGACUAGAGUGCAGAAGGGGCAACUGGAAUUCGUCGGUGUAGCGGUGAAAUGCGUAGAUAUCGAGAGGAACACCUGCGGCGAAGGCGGGUUGCUGGGCUGACACUGACGCUGAUGCGCGAAAGCCAGGGGAGCGAACGGG
rnacentral:rRNA from 1 species